UCUAUUUUAACCACUACUAGAGAUUUUUCAAGCUUUUCAAAAGCUUCCAGUUCUGGUUGUUGGUCCCAAAAACUGGAUCCUGUGGGACAACACGGUCUUCAGCUGAUCUAGCCCUGCCUCCAACCAGCGACAGUCCCUGGCACCUGCGUCUCUGCUGCUAACCCUCCUGAUGAGUGCGCCAGGAGUAUUCCGACCAGUGACAGUCCCUGGUGCCGGCAUCUCUGCCACUAACCCUCCUGAUGGGUGCACCAGGCAUAUGGCCUCCGACCAGUGAUAGUCCCUGGCACCGGUGUCUCUGCCACUAACCUUCCUGAUGGAUGCACCAGGCGUACGGCCCUCGGGCCUCUCGCGUUCAGCCCAAGCUCAUUGAGUGGAAAUCCCCGGGUUACCAGCCCUCCCACUACCCUGUACCCAAUGCCACUCCGGGUGCCACGCGCCAGAGUCAAUUUCCGCCCAACACCACGACUGUGUGUGGCUCUGGCAUUUCCAACCACUAGGAGGGCAGGAGGGCUGGCCAGCAGGCGAGGUCUCUGUGUGUGAUUUUGAAAUGCCUUUUCCCACAAUGGCAAUUAAAGUGCAAUGCCUAAUUCUGGACAGCUUCAGAACGAGCUUUAGAAAUGGAUGAGCUUUAGAAAUGGUCACGUAGCAAGAAAAUCUCCUUCCAGAAAACCUGCAGGCAUGGAGGGAGACUGAGGUGGGGCUAGGGCUGGGGCUGAGGGCUGGGUCUUCCUGAGGCACUGUGGGGGCAGAAAGCAGGAGGCUGGCUGGUGACUGACCCUUCCAGGGAGAGGAAGCCAGCUCAUCCAUGAAGAGAUGAUUUCUUAGGGCAGCUGGUGCUGGUGAGGACACCAGGCGGGAAGCCCAGCCAGCAGUCACUCUGUGAAGCGGCUUAGCGGACUCUGCCUAGCCUGGUGCCCAGCACCUCUGACCCCGCAAAAACACGCACCCAUGUGCCCCUGGUGGCAGAGACAAACACAGCUACAGCAGCGCUCUUGAAACCACACGAUUGUCCAGCCACGGUGGCCUGGGCAUGGAGACCACAGGCGCUCACAACGGAAGGCCACCUGAGGACGAGAAGUGGGCAGCAACGCAGGUGGUGCUCAGGAUCGAGAGACCGAGGUCAGCGCCAGGGAGAGUGCCAGGCCCGGCGGCCCAGUCCAUGGGUCAGGGUCGAAGGCAGGGCACCUGUCCUGUGGCAGGGGAGCUUUGGGCAGGGGGACUUCAGGGUGCAGGACAAUGUGGAGAGGACGUGAGGGGUC
rnacentral:lncRNA from 1 species